GAUUCAUGUCCACCGGCAAUACAGAAAGUCUGCAUCUUUGGGCGUAUAAUACCCGACCAGUAGGAGCACACUGGUUGCUGCUUGCUAUCAACCCUAUAAGGGAAGUCGUGUAUUAUCUGAAUUCGGUAAAUGGUGAAUGGACCAAUUAUCCGGCUAUGAAGGACAUCGUUGAUUUAUCAAUACAAGUGUUCCGAAGUCAACGGGACGCACAGGUAUCCCGGACUAAAUCUAACAACAUUACUUGGAUCCAAGUGCAG